UUUUAUUCUAUGAUGAUAUCUUCAUACCAACUCAGAAUAAUUAUGUUGAUAUUGACACGCCAUGCACUACCAUCUGAUUAAAAU